CCCCUCUCAGGUUCGCACCUGGAGAGUUUCCAGUACUCCACUAGUCUCAGCAAUGGGAGGGAGAGUCAAGCUGAGGCCUACCCAUUCCAUUCCCAGCUCGGCCAGUGGCUAGCGAGUGGAUGGCAAUCUGCUACAAGU